GACAGGCGUGGCCUAAUGGUUAGAGAGUCAGAAUUAUAAUCUGAAGGUCAUGGGUUCGUGUCUCAGGUCUGGCA